UACGUAGGGUGCAAGCGUUGUCCGGAAUUAUUGGGCGUAAAGAGCUCGUAGGCGGUUCGUCGCGUCGGCUGUGAAAUCCCGAGGCUCAACCUCGGGUCUGCAGUCGAUACGGGCGGACUGGAGUUCGGCAGGGGAGACUGGAAUUCCUGGUGUAGCGGUGAAAUGCGCAGAUAUCAGGAGGAACACCGGUGGCGAAGGCGGGUCACUGGGCCGCAACUGACGCUGAGGAGCGAAAGCAUGGGGAGCGAACAGG
rnacentral:rRNA from 1 species